rnacentral:rRNA from 2 species
UUGGAGGUUGUGGCCUUGAGCCGUGGCUUUCGGAGCUAACGCGUUAAGUAGACCGCCUGGGGAGUACGGUCGCAAGAUUAAAACUCAAAUGAAUUGACGGGGGCCCGCACAAGCGGUGGAGCAUGUGGUUUAAUUCGAUGCAACGCGAAGAACCUUACCUACUCUUGACAUCCAGAGAACUUUCCAGAGAUGGAUUGGUGCCUUCGGGAACUCUGAGACAGGUGCUGCAUGGCUGUCGUCAGCUCGUGUCGUGAGAU